rnacentral:pre_miRNA from 1 species
UGUGAAAAAAUUCAUUCGUUUUUAUUGUUAAAAUUUAGCGUGGUUGAUGAAUUAACCAAACAGUUACACGUGUCACAUGUACCAUAUUCUGACAUACAAGAACUAGUUUUUAAUAGUGGAUUGGAUGAAAUUUUUAACA